rnacentral:rRNA from 1 species
AUUGCACGCUGGCGGCAGGCCUAACACAUGCAAGUCGAACGAGUGGCGGACGGGUGAGUAAUGGCUGGGAAACUGCCUGCUGGAGGGGGAUAACUACUGGAAACGGUAGCUAAUACCGCAUACCAUCGGAUGUGCCCAGAUGGGAUUAGCUAGUAGGGGGGGUAACGGCCCACUUAGGGCACGAUCCCUAGCUGGUCUGAGAGGAUGACCAGCCACACUGAAACGUAGACACGGUCCAGCCUCCUACGCGAGGCAGCAGUGGGGAAGAUUGCACAAUGGGCGCAAGCCUGAUGCAGCCAUGCCGCUUGUAUGAAGAAGGCCUUCGGGUUGUAAAGUACUUUCAGCGAGGAGGCGUUACUCGCAGAAGAAGCACCGGCUAACUCCGGGCCAGCAGCCGCGGUAAUAC